UACGAAGGGAGCUAGCGUUGUUCGGAAUCACUGGGCGUAAAGCGCACGUAGGCGGAUGUGUCAGUCAGGGGUGAAAUCCCGGAGCUCAACUUCGGAACUGCCUUUGAUACAGCACGUCUUGAGUCCGAUAGAGGUGGGUGGAAUUCCUAGUGUAGAGGUGAAAUUCGUAGAUAUUCGCAAGAACACCAGUGGCGAAGGCGGCUCACUGGCCCGAUACUGACGCUGAGGCACGAAAGCGUGGGGAGCAAACAGG
rnacentral:rRNA from 1 species